rnacentral:rRNA from 1 species
GAUGAACGCUGGCGGCGUGCCUAAUACAUGCAAGUCGAGCGAAGCGGGGACGGGUGAGUAACACUUGGAUAACCUCCUAUAAGACUGGGAUAACUUCGGGAAACCGGAGCUAAACCGGCUACUUAUAGAUGGAUCCGCGCUGCAUUAGCUAGUUGGUAAGGUAACGGCUUACCAAGGCAACGAUGCAUAGCCGAACUGAGAGGGUGAACGGCCAAAAUGGAACUGAGACACCGUCCAGAAUCCUACGGGAGGGAGCAGUAGGGAAUCUUCCGAAAUGGGCGAAAGCCGUAAGGAGCAAAGGCGGGUGAGUGAUGAAGGGCUUUGGAUCGUAAAACUCUUUUAGUAGGGAAGCGGUAACUAAGCAGAAAGGCACGGCUAACUACGUGCCAGCCGCAGCGGUAAUUCC